AAGGAGCACCACGAGAAACAUCCCAAUUGGCGGGAUGUGAGCCGUGAGGGGUCCUCGUCUGUAGUGGAUGAGGGCCGGGUGCACAUCAGCAGACAAUCGCCAGACACACUAUUGGGCCCUGAGACAACACUCGGCCGACUGAGGUCGAAGUGGUGUCCCUCCAUCUUGGUGGUGGGGUGUGGUGUUUGAGUAUUGGAUAGUGGUUGCGAGCAUCUAAAUGAACGCGUUGCCGGCAACGGUUACGUGUUCGUUUUGUGUAAUUUUUUCUUUUGGUUUUUGUGUUC
rnacentral:misc_RNA from 1 species